UGCCCUUAGGUGGGGCAUAAACCCGGGAAACUGGGGCUAAUUCCCCAUAGAUACAGAAGGCUGGAAUGCCUCUGUAUUCAAAGCUCCGGCGCCUAAGGAUGAGUCUGCGACCUAUCAGGUAGUAGUCAGGGUCACGACCUGACUAGCCAACGACGGGUACGGGGUGUGAGAGCACUUGCCCGGAGAUGGUUUCUGAGACACGAAACCAGGCCCUACGGGGCGCAGCAGGCGCGAAAACUUCGCAAUGCGGGAAACCGUGACGAGGGAACUCCAAGUGUCUAUGCAAUGCAUAGACUGUUUUUCAGCCUAAAUAGCUGUUAGAGUAAGGGGUGGGUAAGACCGGUGCCAGCCGCCGCGGUAACACCGGCACCCCGAGUGGUAGCCACUAUUAUUGGGCCUAAAGCGUUCGUAGCCGGUUUAGUAAAUUCUUGGGUAAAUCGUACAGCUUAACUGUGCGGAUUCCGGGGACACUACUAGACUUGAGACCGGGAGAGAUUAGAGGUACUUGCAGGGGAGCGGUGAAAUGUUGUAAUCCUGCAGGGACCACCAGUGGCGAAGGCGUCUAAUCAUAACGGCUCUGACGGUGAGGAACGAAACCCUGGGGCGCAAACGGGAUUAGAUACCCCGGUAGUCCA
rnacentral:rRNA from 1 species